rnacentral:sRNA from 1 species
GCGGAGGAAAAGAAACCAACAGGGAUUGCCCUAGUAACGGCGAGUGAAGCGGCAUCAGCUCAAAUUUGAAAUCUGGCUCUUUCAGAGUCCGAGUUGUAAUUUGCAGAGGGCGCUUUGGUGUCGGCAGCGGUCCAAGUUCCUUGGAACAGGACGUCACAGAGGGUGAGAAUCCCGUACGUGGUCGCUGACCUACACCGUGUAAAGCCCCUUCGACGAGUCGAGUUGUUUGGGAAUGCAGCUCUAAAUGGGAGGUAAAUUUCUUCUAAAGCUAAAUACUGGCCAGAGACCGAUAGCGCACAAGUAGAGUGAUCGAAAGAUGAAAAGCACUUUGGAAAGAGAGUCAAACAGCACGUGAAAUUGUUGAAAGGGAAGCGCUUGCAGCCAGACUUGCUUGUAGUUGCUCAUCCGGGCUUUUGCCCGGUGCACUCUUCUGCGAGCAGGCCAGCAUCAGUUUGGACGGUUGGAUAAAGGCCUCUGUCACGUACCUUCUCUCGGGAAGGCCUUAUAGGGGAGGCGUCAUGCAACCAGUCUGGACUGAGGUCCGCGCAUCUGCUAGGAUGCUGGCGUAAUGGCUGUAAGCGGCCCGUCUUGAAACACGGACCAAGGAGUCUAACAUCUAUGCGAGUGUUUGGGUGUCAAGCCCGAGCGCGUAAUGAAAGUGAACGGAGGUGGGAUCCCGCAAGGGUGCACCCAUCGACCGAUCCUGAUGUCUUCGGAUGGAUUUGAGUAAGAGCAUGGCUGUUGGGACCCGAAAGAUGGUGAACUAUGCUUGAAUAGGGUGAAGCCAGAGGAAACUCUGGUGGAGGCUCGCAGCGGUUCUGACGUGCAAAUCGAUCGUCAAAUUUGGGCAUAGGGGCGAAAGACUAAUCGAACUAUCUAGUAGCUGG